CUACGGCUGACCGGGCGUGGACACUACGUGCAGCGGUUACGGUUACAGACACCGUCGGGAAGGUUGGAGGGGAGCCAGCGCGGACUUUUUUUUCAGCAUCUGGAUGUUGAGCUGGUUGCAGAUCAAGCAUCCUCCUCUGUAUUGACAUCGCUGUCCCCAACUUCAUCCCAUUCAUCCUUGGUAGUGGCACAGACUGCACUAUCCCCAGCUUUAUCCCAUUCAUCUGAUUCCACCGUUAUUCUGGAGUCCACAAGAAAAAGGAGGAACCCAACAGGGUUAAUGGACCAGAAUGAAGCAAAACAGAUGGUUGAGGGUGUUCUGAGGGCCAAUCCAAAGGGUGAAGAAGUCUUCAAUGAGUAUGACAAGACUAAAACACUAACUGAUGCGACCCGUAAACAAAUGGUGAACAUCCUGGUUGCAGAUAUGGUAGAGCUACAUGGGAGGGUUCCACCGUCAAGUGUAAGGACCAAUUAUGCACUGGGAAUUGUGACUCUUUUUCCAUACCUCCGUGAUCCAUUCUCCAAACUUGGAUAUGAACACUACUAUGAUCCUGAGGGUAAUACCGGCUUCAUUUCAUGGAGGAUCAAGACGGUUCAACGCAACACCUUUGCUGGCUUGCGGGGUCGUUCCAAGACCGUUCUUCAGGAUGGUCCAAAAACCAGGCGAGAAUCUCUGUCAACCUGCCAACAGCUAUUUGGUGAGGAGUGCAGGGAGGCGAUAUCUACAAUAAGACAUUCCAGCGAUGAAUCUGUGGUCAAAGAGAAGAUGAGAGCGACUUUCCAGUAUCGACAGAAGAUGGUUGGGGAUGAUGCAUCAUCUUCAGUCCUGGAUGUGUUCCCUCGUUUUCUUGAUGUACCUGGAUUGAUCGACCAGGAUUUCUCAAUGAUGUUUGGUGACGAAGUGUCUCAGAAGUUCCUGUCCAAGUGGUCAACUUUCUUCAAGCCAAACAUCAUCACAGACUGCAAGACUGCAACGAAUAUGGAUGAGUUGCUGUCAGCAACUGAAUUUGAGUCUGAAGAGAACAAUGGAUGGGACAGUGAUAUGUCUUCAAUCCUUUUGCUGCUGCAGCUACUCCCUCCAACUUCAAGGGGCCAGAAAAAAACUGCCAAGAUCAGUUCAGCUCAAGCAACCAGCCAUCUUGUUAGAUAUCUUAAGGAAGGAGCCAGUAUUACUACCUUCCUUGAGAGUGUCGACGCAAGACAACCGUUCCUCCUUUGCAUCGGUGAGC
ensembl:lncRNA